ACAGGGCCCUCUGGAGGAAGAACGAACAAGCUGAGGCCCAACCGGAUCAGGUUGCUAGCCAGAGGUUCAUGGAUUUGUAUGUGGUGGCUUUGUGUGGCCAAGUCCUGUGAUGGCUGCUGACAUCUUGGGUCUGCUGCUGCUUGCCGGCCCUGGGCUCCUCCAAAGACACACUCAGAACUCA